rnacentral:tmRNA from 1 species
GGGGGCGACAUGGCUUCGACGUGGGCUGUGAAAUCCUUGGUGUGCAUGCCGAGGCGCAGGGUUCCUCGUAAAUCCGCCUGCAAAACCAAUAGUUGCCAACGACGACAACUACGCUCUGGCGGCUUGACCGCCAGCGCUCCUGCCAGGAUUUCCUGUGGCCAGGCCGGAGCGUCGCUUGCAUAGGAUCGCCCGUGGCAUUGAUCGGCGCGCACGGGUUAAGAGUUAGCUGAUCAAAACGGUGCUUCCGUCCUGCCCGUCGGGGAACCACCGCGACUAAGACGCGGCUAAGCAUGUAGAGCGCCUCGGCCAGUAACGCUUGCGGACGCGGGUUCGAUUCCCGCCGCCUCCACCA